UCUUGUGCUGAGGGGCUCCUAUCUUGGAGGAGGGGGGCAUGAAGCAUGGAAGACUGUUAUUAUCAGUUUCUCUCUCUACCCUAGAAACAAGCACAGAAGAAUGUGAAUAUGUGCAUGCUAUUCAUCCUUACUGGGAAUCCCUUCUGACUAUCACUUGGGAAAGGUGAUGAGGAUCACACACAAGAAAUGAGAAAGGAGGUCGAUGCCUGAAUCAAAUUGGCCAUGGACUUGUUCUUGCCCACUUUUCUCCUACAGGCCCUAGUCAAACUUAUACCAGAUGUUUCCUGCUCUACCAGACAAAAAUAGGGAAUGGCUGAAGACCAUUCAUGUCUACUUGAAGACUACAACAUGUGGAGUUAACAGUGUUCCCACAGAACCUCUGAUUCAGGUGCUGAGUUCCUCAGAACCUCUGCAUUAAAGAAUUCCCAGGUCAUCGGGCAAUUCUGCUGACAUUCUUUGGUCCCUUUGGCACUUGGACUGAAGCUACCUUUUCCCAUAGCUUUUUCAACACUUGUUGAAUGCUUAGAAUGAAUCCAGUUAUUAGGGUAACAUGACAUAGUUGAACAUAUUACACGUGUUAUUAAGAUUGCCAUGUUUCCUGACUCUUCCAUUUACCAACUCUGUGAACUUGGCAAAAAUCUUUUCACCUCCCUGAGUUUGCAUCUUCUUCAGUACAGAUGAGCAUGUUGGACUAAAUGGCCUAUACCCCAAGACAAUGUAGAAAGAGAUCCAGAGAAAGCUGAGAAGCCCCAUGCCUCUGCACAGUGUUCCUUCAGAUGCCAGCCCUUUCCUGAGGCCCCAAGAGGCUUCACCUGGGUCUAGUUACCACUACCCACAGCUGCAAGUUGCUGUUCAGCACCACAGACAUCCUGAGUCAGGUUGGGUGGCAUUGCUGACUCUCAUGUGAACCUUGGGGAGGUCAAGAUCAUGGUAUUAUGACAGGCAUAAUUCUGGCUCAUUGUAGAAGAGGGCAAGAGGUUUCUUGGCUUAAGUAGUGGGCCCAUAAAGCAAGAAGGGUUUAGAAGUUACCUGAAGCAUGUAAGUCUCAAUGCAGGCUCAUUGGCUGUUUGCCAGACCCCAUCCAACCAGCAGUCACAAGUCACUGCUCCAGGGACUGUCCCCAGCCACCCAGAGCCCCCGUGGAGCUGCCAGCACUACACAACUCACAAAGGGCCCUGUAGCAUCUCUAAUUGAGGAGCUGGUGAGCGGACGCCCUCAGUGGAGGUAUUUUUAGCUACAGUGAUACAGCCUCAUCUUUUUGCAGUAUGUUUUGUUUAGGGUUUUUUUUUUUUUAAUGAGAAAAGUAAAAUUGAAGAAUAUGGUUCUUACACUCCAGUGCAACACCCAAGAAGUUUUGCGCAGACACACACACACCCCACCACCAUAGCCUAUGUAAUUAAUCCUCUCUAAGAUCCAGGUGCUAAAGCUUAAAGUUUGCCAGCAUGUUCAGAAGCAAGAAGAGCUAGAAAUAGGGAGGAGGAAUAAUGCAGGCUGGCCUAAUGUAGAGGUGCCGAGGACUCUGCAAGCAGCGUGGGCAGCUGGGAACCACCCGCCUUCCAGGCUUCUCGAGGCUUUGAUGGAUCUGAUGCAUCAACUGAGUGGGCUUCAACUCCUGAGCAGAGGACAGCCUUGGAAUAUACAAGGGAUUCCGUUCUGUGACUUGCCGACUUUUUAUGCUUUUGUUUUCCUCCUCUUCAUCUUGCCCAUGACUUUUUGUAUUUUCUUUAGCUUUUAUUGUGUACCACAUGGUCAGGGACUAGAGGACAUUGACAGAACUGGCUGAAGAUCCCACAGCAUGAUCCUAGAUUGACCAGGGCAGUGGUUCUGAACCCUGGCAACAUAUUGGCAUCACAAAGCAGGGAAGCUUAUGGAAGCUACUAAUGGCUGGGCCUCCUUCCAGAGAUUCUGGCCUCAUCAAGCCCAGCUCUUUAUUAUAAGUUCUCAAGUAUAUUAGCUGAUACCAAAGAAUAACUUUUUUAAAUUUGAUAAGUGUGAGAAUAGCAUUGUUGCUACAUAAGAAAAUGACCAUAUCUUUUUCAGAAGGGUAUAAGGUUGAAAUGGCAUCAGGCAUGAGAUAUACUUUAAAAUACCUCAACAAAGAAAAGGGGAUAAGUGACAUAAAGUUGACAACUUUAGUAAUUAUUGAGUCUAGGUGAUGGGUAUAUGGGAGUUCAUUACUAUUUUCAGGGAUUCAAAUUUUUCAUAUAGAACCUUUAUUUUUAAUUAAAAAUUUAAGGGUUUUUUUUUUAAGGCUCUCCAGGUGAUUCUAAUGUGAGCUAAGGUUAAGACUUAAUCAUAAGUUUAGGAGAUUAAAUUUGGAUCCCUAUACCUUAGGUGAUCAUCUUAAACUUUGGGCUUUAUGUAGCAUAAGCCUCAUCUAUCAGGCUAGGUAUCUGUGAGCAGUAUUGACUCUGGGGGAUAGAAUGGGCACAAAGAACAGGUAUCUAGAGUUGGAACUGGAGCGGCAGCUAGAUAGCUCAGUCCUCCAGUGAGUGACCUUGCUAUAACCAGCCUGAGAACUGCUAUGCCUUGAGCUUUACCUGCUUGUCCCCUGCCAACGCUGCAUGCCCCAUCCUGAGGGUCUCUUAGGCCUCACAAGGAAAAGAGAAGACAGCUGCAUCUGCAUCAUGACACAUGCCACAAGAGAGUCCUCAUCUCCUCUGAGUACUGAGCACUUUUCCAAGUGGGAUUUGGCCAAGGCUGCAAUGGAAGGGCUGAAACUUCCACUUCCCCCAGCCCCAACACCGUACGCACUCUCAGCUCUGUGUGCAUAUACAUGGGGACUCCUUUGUGUCUUCAGUGCCUGUUCCAAUACCUGAGUGCUAGUUUCCUCUGGCUGCUUAACAGGCGAAACAAACAGCAUCUUGCUGCAGUCAAACUAAAUGGAGCUCAGGAGCUCAGGCAAGAAGCUUCUAUACUAUAUUUGUAUAACCGCAGCCUUGAUGAAGACCCUGGCUUAGUAAGCUGUUGGUUCUUUGUUUAAGUGGCUUUGUGACUUACACCUAAACAUUAAGCUAAUUGUGUUGCUAAGGGACACUGAAGUAGAGGGAGAGCUACAACUGCCCAGGUCACUCAACCAGCUCAGAAUACAUACAGUAUUACUAAUGUGUUUACUGAGAGAGUGUUUGCCUGUUCCCAACUCUUAGGGGAACCUUGAGAGGUACAGAAGUUACACUCCAUCCCCACCCAUGUCCCAGCCCCUCAGGAAGGCCCAGGCAUCUCUGUCUUUCCCACAGCAUCUGAUUCAAGGUCCAAGUACUGUCCACUGCAUGCAUCCACAGUCCAACUUGGUAAAUGUCCUCCUCAGUCCACUUCUAGGGCAAGCAGCCCCCAGGUACUUGAAGGUAACACUGUAUACUUACUAUGCAGCCUGUGCUGCAUUUCUUCAUGGAACAGUGGAAAAGGUUUCCCCUGGCUCUGGCCUGCUUUCUACAAGGCUCUCCACUGUGCAUCUGCCUGCUGUCAGCACAGCCUAACCAUUUCAGUUGUUUGCCUGUGGUGCUGAGCAUCUCCAGGCAAGGACCAAAUCUUCAUCUCCAUAGUUCUCUGGCACCUAGCAUGAUGCUGGCCCUUGGUUCUAAAUAAGCAUACAAAUGAAUGAGCAAACCAAGGAAAGGCCUUGGCAGGGAGUGCCACCAUGCCAAGAGACACAAGCCUCACAUUUUAGAAAUCGGCUUCUCUUUCAUUUGGGCUUAUGAACCACCACCACACGGUGAUCGGGAGCCUGCCUAAAUUUACCUGUAGUGCCUCCUUUGACUGAUUGGGGAGGUUUCUGGCUAUAAAGGCUGGAGGGAAGGAUGCCAUUUGUUUCUGUUCCAACUUGCUUUGGAAUAAAGGAUAAACUUUCUGUGCCUCUA